rnacentral:rRNA from 1 species
GGGUUGUGAGGUUAAGCGACUAAGCGUACACGGUGGAUGCCCUGGCAGUCAGAGGCGAUGAAGGACGUGCUAAUCUGCGAUAAGCGUCGGUAAGGUGAUAUGAACCGUUAUAACCGGCGAUUUCCGAAUGGGGAAACCCAGUGUGAUUCGUCACACUAUCGUUAACUGAAUACAUAGGUUAACGAAGCGAACCGGGGGAACUGAAACAUCUAAGUACCCCGAGGAAAAGAAAUCAACCGAGAUUCCCCCAGUAGCGGCGAGCGAA